rnacentral:rRNA from 1 species
UACGGGGGGGGCAAGCGUUGUUCGGAAUUACUGGGCGUAAAGGGCUCGUAGGCGGCCAACUAAGUCAGACGUGAAAUCCCUCGGCUUAACCGGGGAACUGCGUCUGAUACUGGAUGGCUUGAGAUUGGGAGAGGGAUGCGGAAUUCCUGGUGUAGCGGUGAAAUGCGCAGAUAUCAGGAGGAACACCGGUGGCGAAGGCGGGUCUCUGGGCAACAACUGACGCUGAGGAGCGAAAGCGUGGGGAGCGAACAGG